rnacentral:rRNA from 1 species
AGAGUUUGAUCAUGGCUCAGAGCGAACGCUGGCGGCAGGCCUAACACAUGCAAGUCGAACGCCCUUUCGGGGGAGUGGCGGACGGGUGAGUAACGCGUGGGAAUGUGCCCUUUGGUACGGAACAACUGAGGGAAACUUCAGCUAAUACCGUAUGUGCCCUACGGGGGAAAGAUUUAUCGCCAUUGGAGCAGCCCGCGUUGGAUUAGGUAGUUGGUGGGGUAAAGGCCUACCAAGCCUACGAUCCAUAGCUGGUCUGAGAGGAUGAUCAGCCACACUGGGACUGAGACACGGCCCAGACUCCUACGGGAGGCAGCAGUGGGGAAUCUUGCGCAAUGGGCGAAAGCCUGACGCAGCCAUGCCGCGUGUAUGAUGAAGGUCUUAGGAUUGUAAAAUACUUUCACCGGGGAAGAUAAUGACGGUACCCGGAGAAGAAGCCCCGGCUAACUUCGUGCCAGCAGCCGCGGUAAUACGAAGGGGGCUAGCGUUGCUCGGAAUUACUGGGCGUAAAGGGCGCGUAGGCGGACAGUUUAGUCAGAGGUGAAAGCCCAGGGCUCAACCUUGGAAUUGCCUUUGAUACUGGCUGUCUUGAGUUCGGGAGAGGUGAGUGGAAUGCCGAGUGUAGAGGUGAAAUUCGUAGAUAUUCGGCGGAUCACCAGUGGCGAAGGCGACUCACUGGCCCGAUACUGACGCUGAGGCGCGAAAGCGUGGGGAGCAAACAGGAUUAGAUACCCUGGUAGUCCACGCCGUAAACGAUGAGUGCUAGUUGUCGGCAUGCAUGCAUGUCGGUGACGCAGCUAACGCAUUAAGCACUCCGCCUGGGGAGUACGGUCGCAAGAUUAAAACUCAAAUGAAUUGACGG